ensembl:lncRNA
AUAUGAUCGAUGGAUCGUUAGAUCGCUUGAUGUGUGUUCAGUACCCUCUGACCUGUCUUCCUUCAGGUGGACGUUGGCCUAUCCAAGAAGAUCCAGGUUGGCAGUGAACCUGGACGUUCUGUGGGACUCCGGAGUACGUGGCUCCAGAGAUCAUUCUGAACAGGGGACACAACUUUAGUGUGGACAUCUGGUCCUUAGACAUCCUGGUCUAUGAGCUGCUCACAGGCAGCUCAGUGCUGGGAGAUGUGUUUGGUUAGAGGACAGGGGAUAAGGUUAGGGGUUAGGGUCAGUGUUGGGAGAUGUGUUUUGGUUAGAGGACAGGGGAUAAGGUUAGGGGUUAGGGUCAGUGCUGGGAGAUGUGUUUGGGUUAGGGGUUAAGGUUAGGGGUUAGGGUCAGUGCUGGGAGAUGUGUUUGGGUUAGGGGUUAAGGUUAGGGGUUAGGGUCAGUGCUGGGAGAUGUGUUUGGGUUAGGGGUUAGGGGUUAGGGUCAGUGUUGGGAGAUGUAUUUUGGUUAGAGGACAGGGGAUAAGGUUAGGGGUUAGGGUCAGUGCUGGGAGAUGUGUUUGGGUUAGGGGUUAGGGUCAGUGCUGGGAGAUGUGGGAUGUGUUCUCUGCGUUUACCUUAAAAGGAUAGUGCGAGAUUUUGGCAAUAAAGCGUUA